GAUGAACGCUAGCGGGAGGCCUAACACAUGCAAGCCGAGCGGUAUUGUUUCUUCGGAAAUGAGAGAGCGGCGUACGGGUGCGUAACACGUGUGCAACCUGCCUUUAUCUGGGGGAUAGCCUUUCGAAAGGAAGAUUAAUACUCCAUAAUAUAUUGAACGGCAUCGUUUAAUAUUGAAAGCUCCGGCGGAUAGAGAUGGGCACGCGCAAGAUUAGCUAGUUGGUGAGGUAACAGCUCACCAAGGCGAUGAUCUUUAGGGGGCCUGAGAGGGUGAUCCCCCACACUGGUACUGAGACACGGACCAGACUCCUACGGGAGGCAGCAGUGAGGAAUAUUGGUCAAUGGGUGCAAGCCUGAACCAGCCAUCCCGCGUGAAGGACGACUGCCCUAUGGGUUGUAAACUUCUUUUGUAUAGGGAUAAACCUACCCUCGAGAGGGUAGCUGAAGGUACUAUACGAAUAAGCACCGGCUAACUCCGUG
rnacentral:rRNA from 1 species